GAAAAAAUUAAAACGCUAAAUAGGGCGGAUGUAGCCAAGUGGAUUAAGGCAGU
rnacentral:tRNA from 1 species